rnacentral:rRNA from 1 species
GCGAUAAGUAAUGUGAAUUGCAGAAUUCGGUGAAUCAUCGAAUCUUUGAACGCAUCUUGCGCUCCUUGGUAUUCCGAGGAGCAUGCCUGUUUGAGUGUCAUUUAAGUUCUCAACCACAUCAAUUCUUUUGGUGAGGCUUGGACGUGGGGGUAUUUUUGCGGGCUUCUGCAGAUUUGAAGUCGGCUCCCCUGAAAUGCAUUAGUGGUAUCUGAGCAGAAGAAACUACUACAGGUGUGAUAAUUAUCUACGCCUCGGUAGGCUGCAUAAUCAGAUUGCACUGCUUCUAACAAGUGGAGGGAUCCCUUUUGGGGACACGACCCACAUUUGACGAAUUUGACCUCAAAUCAGGUAGGACUACCCGCUGAACUUAAGCAUAUCAAUAAGCGGAGGAAAAGAAACU